AACUACUAAUGCAGUGGCAUGUUUCCGCCGGUCAAUUUGACAGGCACAGACAGUGAGAGAGGACGGCGAAACGCCAGAGCUAUUUUUGUUACCCGUAUUUAUGUAUACUGAAGUUAAAACAACCUGCCAGGGUGUGGUGUUUGUAUAAACUGGAAAGAUAAAUAAAGGAGCUUGCCUCAACACCCCUCCCCCACCUCCCAAAGUAGGGCUGGCAGUGAGGACACAACAAGUUAGUAGUUAGUGUCCGUGAAACCUCUCCUCCUUACUCCUGUCAUGCAAGCAGAGGCCAUAAUAUGAAAUAUAAAGGAUCCAAAGUAUUUCCUGUGACAGAGUACACAUUGAGUGCAAGACCACAACCCUUACUCUGGAAGAAGCAUGACCUUGAUCACAUACACUGUCGUGAUGUGCAGAACAAUCCAAGCGAGAACAUCAGGGAAAAUCACUCGUGCUAUACCUGACUCUGGAAGAUGAACAGCAAGAGUAGGACCUCAAUCACAAAUAUAUCUGAUAUGUGGAAUGAUCCAACAGAAAACGUCAGGGAGAAGAUCAGUCUUGCCUAGCAGCCUCAAAUCCAGACUCUGGAAGACAAAUGGGAGGCGUAGGAUCUCCAACACGUACACUGGCAAGUGGGGGUCCACGGCUAUAUUUGCCUACUCCCCCAAAAUCGGAGACAUUUCAACGACCUCAGGCUGAGAUGAAGAACCUGCCUCAGAACUCUGAUGCGAGUGAAGAUCAACACAGACUGCAACAUGAUCACGUGAUCAAAGGGUCCGUGUUGGGGAGAGGUAGAAAAGUCCUUCUCUCUCAGAAGAUGCUCCACGGACUGGAACAUGUCACAUACUUAAAGGCUCUGUGCUGGGAAGAUGUAGAAAUACAUUUCUCAAUCUCGGAAGAUGCUCCACAGACUGGAAUGUGAUUACAUACUUGAAGGAGCUGUGCUGGGAAGAUGUAGAAACAUUUUUCUCACUCCUAGAAGAUGCUCCACAGACUGGAAUGUGAUUACAUACUUGAAGGAGCUGUGCUGGGAAGAUGUAGAAACAUUUUUCUCACUCCUAGAAGAUGCGCCACAGACUGGAACUCGUUCACGUACUUCAAGGGGAGUCGUGUCCAUACUGGGAAGAUGGAGAAACACCGCUCUCACCCUUAGCAGAUGCCAAAAGUCUCAAUUCAUUGGAGGGGAGGAGGAAAGGUAAUGGAUGUCUUGUCCUAUGACAUCUGUGUUUGAUAAGUGUCCCAGAGUUUCAAGCAAGAGGUCCAUCCUGAGUCCAUCAAAUCAACCAAAUCUUGUUAGAACACUUUCAAUGGGUUGACAACCAACCCUGAAGGCGUCAUGGACGAUGAUGGAAGUUACAGCAUGGCAACAGGCAGAGGCGAGAAGUCACAGGCAAGGAUGUAUUGAGAAUAACAUUACAGCAUUGGGACUGGUAGUCCAAGUCAAAGGUCUCUGCAAUAGCAAAGAUGGCCUCCUGCAGCAACCAAAGGACCUCCCGUGAACUUGUACAAGAUGGGAUAGCGAAGAAUUUCCAUCGCCCCAAGGAACAGCUAAUUUAAAAAAAACUUUCAACUGAAACUAUGUAUGAGGAAGAUGGCAUUGUCUUUAAUGUCCUUAGCUAUUUGAAGCAAAAUAUACUGUUAUAUAAAGAGAAUAAAACUUGUUUCACCAGGAUUAGAAUGGCUUACUUUGAUAUCCUAAAGGAAAUAUUAUUUAGUGUUCAUUUCAGCUGAAAGUCUGUGUGAGGGAGUGCACCAAACCCAUCCCCACACAGGUGUGAUUACUAAUCAAAGCAGAAAGUAAUACGGAGAUCACAAGAAUGCAAUCGCAGUAAUAUAAAAUGAACAUUGUUUAGCAGGUCUUGAGAGAUGAGUGUUAACUAUGAUCUUGCCAAAGGGAUGGUAGUUUCCGUAAAAUCAAAGGGGCUUCGGUCAAGCAAUAUUUUUAAUGUGGAUGCUUAGUCUUUUUUAAAGUACCAAAUGGAGAUGAUAUUACUUACAUAUCUGUAUCUUGUGCAUUAUUGUACUCUGGUAAAAUCACCAUACUGUGUAUAGUACACUUCAGAACUGAAUGAGGGUGGUUGUUGACAAGCUGAAAGUAAGGGAGCUAAAGCCUUUGUAUAAAUGCAAUUUAAUCUAGUGCAUUCAACAAGUCUUCAAAGUUACUUUCAGGUUAUCAGCAACCACAACUCAGACAAUUCUUAACUACUGUACUUGGGGCACUGUUUUUGACCAGAGUAUAGUACUGUACAAGACCUAUAUCUGUUAAAUAGCAUCAUCCCCAUUCAGUACUGGAGAAAUGCAAAAGCAUCCAUAUUAGAAAUAUUGCUUGACCAAAGUAACCUUAGAUUUUAAGGAAACAUUUUGUAGCAUCCCUUUGGUAAAAUCACAUUGAACAGUCAUCUCUCAAGACCUGAUAAACAAUAUUCAGUUCAUAUUACUGCAAUUGCAUUCUUAUGAUCUCCAUAUUACUUGCUUUGAUUAAUAGGACACUUGUGUGGACAUGGGUACUUGGUGUACUUCCUCACACAGACUUGUAUUUCAGCUGAAAUUGUUUGGCCCCCAAGUUUGUCGUACUGUUUGGUAUAUUGAUGGUGGAGUCUGCUUGACAAGUUGGACCCGAGUUGCAAUGAAGAAUGAAUUUAUGCCAUGCAAUCAAAAGAUAUGAAUAACUUCCAUUUCAUUCUCUCAACUGAAAAUGUUUGCCUGAACUGCUCUUUUGUAUAAUGCAAUAAAUGGUGCAUACUUGAAUUUUCCACCAUACUGAAAUUAAAAUGAAUUUAUACAUGCUAUAGAAAAUUAAUACCAAUCAGUAAUGCCAAGGAACAUUAUAUUCUUUGAAAAGGUCAUUAAUUGUUGUUUAAAGCAAAAUUUCCACAAAAAUUUCAUUGCUAUAUACAUU